GACGAACGCUGGCGGCGUGCUUAACACAUGCAAGUCGAACGGAAAGGCCCUGCUUUUGUGGGGUGCUCGAGUGGAGACCGGGUGAGUAACACGUGAGUAACCUGCCCUUGACUUUGGGAUAACUUCAGGAAACUGGGGCUAAUACCGGAUAGGAGCUCCUGCUGCAUGGUGGGGGUUGGAAAGUUUCGGCGGUUGGGGAUGGACUCGCGGCUUAUCAGCUUGUUGGUGGGGUAGUGGCUUACCAAGGCUUUGACGGGUAGCCUGCCUGAGAGGGUGACCUGCCACAUUGGGACUGGGAUACGGCCCAGACUCCUACGGGAGGCAGCAGUGGGGAAUAUUGCACAAUGGGCUGAAGCCUAAUGCGGUAACGCAGCGUGCGGUAUGACGGCCAUCGGGUUGUAAACCACUUUCGUCUGUGACGAAGCGUGAGUGACGGUAAUGGGUAAAGAAGCACCGGCUAACUACGUG
rnacentral:rRNA from 1 species